UCCCUCCACCAUCGGUAUUCACUCCCUCAUUCUCCAUUCACCAUUUUCCCCAAAUUGAGAUCCCCAAUUUGAGCAACCCUUAAUUCCCGUCGCCUCCUCCGACUCACUCUACACCGGCGACCACAACGCCCUCUCACUCCCUUCUACGUCCUCUCUACACUCCGGCUAAACAACACAGUCAAGUCACGAUUCGCCCUUCGUUCCACCACCGCCUUUGAUUUCGGUUCGCGAGGUCUCAUCACCACCACUCCGUCGCCGUCAGAACGGAGUUUCUGUGCUACUGUUUGGAAGCCGCUGCCGUGGAAUCACCGCAGCCGAACAUCAGCGCCGAAUCAGGCGCCUCAUUGUCCCAGCUUUGCCGCAAUGUCUCGCCGUCGCCACUUGUUUAUUUAAUCGAGGAAGCGGACAGACUCGCCGUCUGAUUUUGAUGCUGCCGAUUCUCGCCUAGCGGUGAGAGGCGCUCGAGAAUCCACCAAGCAGUCGCUGCCAUCGGGGUCUCACUUCGGUCGGUGUCAUUCUCCAGCCAUCUCGGCUGCAUUGUCACUAUCAAUUUCGUCGGACUUCCGUGGACUUCUAGGCUUAAUAGUUGUGUGGCAAUGGAGGCGUUCUUGUUCUAGUUCAGGCCAUCAUGAACUUAAAGUUAUCGGGCUGAGACAAUAUUUCCUCAUACAUGGCUGCUAUCUCCCUCCUAAAAUCUAAAGCUUUAUCUAUUCUUUUGCACCUUUGUGAAGCUGAAAGUGUAUCCUACCUGGAUGAGGUGGCCAGCAACACAACAACUAGGGAUGUGGCAAAGUCUGUUGGACUCGAGGUUCUUCAAUUGCUGAAAAAUGUUUGGUAUAGAUUCAAGACAGUUAAAAGCUCCCUCCGAGGCAAGUUACCCGAAGGGUCAACUGGAACGUAAUACAAAGCGCUUGGCAGAUGUCGUCUCAGAUGCUUCAAAUUUUCGGUCAUUCAUCAUGAUAAACUUUAAGCUGACAAAGUGUCUAAAGUUAGCAAGAACUUAUGUUCACAGUUGAGUCAUUCUGAAUCUUUAGUUCCAGGAGUUUUGAAUGAAGAUGAUGUAUAACUGCUGAGGUUAUUUAUAAGUCAGUUUGAGUGCCGAAUCAUUCGUGCUGCAUCGGAAGAUCAUUUAGUCCAUGAGCUUGGGAAGGGGUGGACUGCAGGAGCAACUAGCUUCCUAUAUUGGACUCUCGGCCCUGAUGAGAAAAAAAGAGGAAUAAGCUUCAUAAAAAGGAAUUUUAAAGCCACAAAAGGAAGGUAGGAAGGUAAGACGAAUCUUGUAAAGAUGACAGGAAAGAUUGCAGUAUAUAUUUAAAGAAAACAAUUUUAUCGGUCAAUCAAAACUGAAUGUUUGGAAAGUAUCGAAGAUGAUCUAAAUUGACUGAGUAUUAUGUUUUUUAUUCUGAUAAAGAUACACUGGUAGAGGUUUGUUUUCAGCAUUUUGGUAUGUGAGAAGGUACCAGGUUUCCAGCAAGGCAGGAAAUCCGAGCUUUUAUUGUAGUCGUCAAAUCCUGGUCUUUGAGGAUUCUGGAAAGACUUUCUGUUUGAGUCAGAUUACAGAGCUGCUGUGUACCAAUCCUGUUGCGUUUGAGGCUACUGAGAUAAUUCACCAUAUUCUCGUGUUACUCUUAGUCGAUUUGAAGGCCUCUCUAAGCAUUUAGAUUCGUUUUUGCAAAUGUUAUCUCUCGUGGAACUAAGGUGUUUUCCGUGAUAGUUCCUAGUGCAUAAAUAGACUAGAAAGUACUUAGUCGAUCUGAAGGUCAAGGGUGGUAGGGGGCGACUGAGUUCUUAACUUAAAAGAUGCGGGGGGAAAGGGUGGAAAACUGAAGGCACAAGUCUAUUUAUUGAUUUUUGAGCUUGCUUUGUGAUCUUCUGUUUCUUGGUUGUUGCGCCUAUAUUUUUCCUACUUAUUUAAUUCAUUCUUUGCUGCAUUUUGCAGCUUUAUAAUUGAUCUGUUACAUAUAUUAUAUUUUUGUUUGUUAUACUAUGCCUGACGUUUUUCUACUUUUUCUAAUCCACUUUUUGCUACCUUGCAGCAUAAUUAAUAUUAACAAACAUAGCAUCCUAUUUUUCUUUGUCUCGUAUGCCCUGUACAAAUAUGUGCUAUAUAAGUGUUGCUUUGAAAUGUAAAACCCAUUGAUUGUCAAAUCUUGGCUUCAUAAUAUAUCUGUUAAAUGUUUUUAUAUGCUCUUUCCCAUUACUUACUAGACACAUUUCCUUUUUACUUCGGCAUUAGGUUUGCUGAACUUGCUUCUAAAAAAGAAAUCGUGGGCCUUGGAAGCUGGUUGAGCACUCAAAUAGUGUCGAGUAAAGAUACUUUCUAGAGGAUCAGUCAUUAAGCAUCAACUUGUGACUAACCUUAUGCUGGGUAUUGCUUUACGAGCUGUUUUCGAUGCUUUGAGGAAGCUUGCAAAUUCAAAAGUUUGUUCCUUCCUAGGCAUUGGAGCAGUUUGUGGGUCAUCUCAUUAAGAAUUAUUGAUCCAGUUCUCUAAUUAGUUUUAUACAUAGUCUACUGUGUUUGAGUUUGUUAUCUUUAACUGUCCGUUUGAUGAUUAUGAUUGAUACAACAAAUUCUGGUUUACUUAGAGAACAUAAGAACAGAUUAAUAGUGUUGUAAAAUACUCUUCAACCUAACUAUGUUAGUUGUAAUGGUACCCCGUUCUAAAAUUUUCAGCUUGCCUAUAAUGUUUAUCCUUUGUGAAUGCUGCUUCAGGAUCAGUCAUUAAGCAUCAACUUGUGACUAACCUUAUGCUGGGUAUUGCUUUACGAGCUGUUUUCGAUGCUUUGAGGAAGCUUGCAAAUUCAAAAGUUUGUUCCUUCCUAGGCAUUGGAGCAGUUUGUGGGUCAUCUCAUUAAGAAUUAUUGAUCCAGUUCAGGUUUGAGCACCUCACUAUUUAUUCCAGCGAGUUGAAGGGUAUAAAGCUGCAACCAAUAAUUGCUUCAAUAUUCAAAUAUUUAUUUAUUAAACCUUACUUUAGUUCGAUAUUAAGUGUGUCAUUUCAUACUAAAGCCAUCAAUGAAGAACUACUGCAAAAUCUUUCUGAUGCUCUACACUUGUCGGUACCUAAUAAAAUUUGGGUUGGACUUGCUUUGUCUAAUUAUGAGGAACACGAUAUCUGCACGAUACCAGGAUGUGUGGUUAGUUAUUCUCUUAUUUGUACAUACAUUUAGAUAUAAUUUUUUGUUUAGUUGUAGGAAGUGGAAUACAUACAACAGUUUAUUAUUUUUCUCUCCUUGGAAUUCUUCUACGUGUUGCACUAAACCUGUAACCCUUUUCUUUGUUGUAUGCAGGAAAGACUCUCUGUUUGAGUCAGAUUGCUGCGUUUGAGGCUACUAAGAUAAUUCAGCAUAUUCUUGUGUUAUUCUUGGGAAACUAGGGUGUUUUCCGUGAUAGUUCCUAGUUGUCUAUAAUGUUGUAAAAUACGCUUCAACCUAACUAUGUUACUUGUAAUGUUACCCCGUUCUAAAAUUUUCAACUUGCCUAUAAUGUUUAUCCUUUGUGAAUGCUUGUGCUUCAGGAUCAGUCAUUAAGCAUCAACUUGUGACUAACCUUAUGCUGGGUAUUGCUUUACGAGCGGUUUUCAAUGCUUUGAGGAAGCUUGCAAAUUCAAAAGUUUGUUCCUUCCUAGGCAUUGGAAUAGUUUGUGGACCGUCUCAUUUAGUGGCCACUGUACUGCCAUCAUAUCCUGCACUUUGUAACAUUUAUAGGGAGGGCACUUAACAGUAUUUCAGCGGCUUAUACUGAACUGGUGUUAGCCAUAGUGCCAAUACUGAUCAACGACACAGUCUUAUUCAAUCUUCAUCUCCACAUAUAGAGACUGCAGGCCCACCAUUUUCUCUGAUCGGACUCGGCAGCAUAUUGUCUGGGUUAGCAAUUCCCUCUUCGAUCCCACUACAACAGAGACCACCGAGUUCUCUAGAUGAGAGUUCACUCCUAAUUACAUGAAGCCAUCACAACACACCUACCUUUCCU